ensembl:snRNA LOC120103214 U6 spliceosomal RNA
GUGUUAUCUUCAGCUGCACUUAUACUAAAAUUGAAGCAAUACAGGGAAGAUCAGCAUGACCCCCGCACAAGGAUGGCAUGAAAUUCAUGAAGCAUUCCGUAUUUUA